GUCAGAUUCCGCCAGCAGACGUGAAUGCCUGGAUGUUGGGGCCUGUGCCACACAGUAUUGCACGAGUCAAAGGACCAUCCGCAUCGUUGUGGCAAGGCAGAUACUGACAUGAGCCUCGGGCACCCACUAACCGGUUUUGAUCCUUUCUGCGACAGUAAGAGGCACACGGGGGUUGAGGUCCCUGUCCCAAGAUCCCAGCUGCUAAGAGACAGGCAGUAGAGGGGAAAAGGAUUGUUUUAAGUACCUAAAUGAUAAGAGCCUCCGUUUGCAGCUGACCAAACAGGCCUUGGGGAAAUGACUUCACCUCUCUGAACCUCAGUUUCCCCACUCUAGAAAAUGGAGGUAAAGUAGGACCCACACCGCAGAGCCGUAGAAAGUUUUUGGCGAGAUGAUAUAUGAUUAGUAUGGUGCCAGGCACAGCUAACGAGACCUGGACGGGACCUCCCACUCACCCCCAUCUGAGCCUCUGGGGAAACAUCUGGACCGCGGGGGCUGAUCGACGACGAAGUAUUUACUUAGCUCUACGCCCACAGUCCGGCUGGAGAGACACCCUUGGGUUCAAGGCGAAAGGCUUCCAGGAAAGGUGGCUGGGCCUCAAGGUCAUCAGUCAUCAGGAAUUGCCCACCUUGUCUCUGGGGACAGUCUGGAGCUGUCUCAUGGGAAGUUCUCCUUCCUCAUUCCUGGGGAGAGUGCCCACUUCCUUUUACUCCUUUAAGCAGCAGCCCACGUCAUUACUGUUAUCACUGUUAUUAUUUUUGCCACCAUCAAUUGAGUGCUCACUGUGUUCGGGGCCCUAAGCUAACUGUGUUACAUGCAUUUCCUCAUUGAGUCCUUGCUAUAACUCUCAGGGUUAGAGAGUAUUUUCAUCCUUUUUUUACAGCCUGCUCGGAUUGGGAAUUCACUUUCCUGAGGUCACAAAGCUGGAAAGUAGAAGACCUGGGAUUUGAACCCAAGCAGUGUGGCUCCAGAGUCUAUGCCUUAACAGGGGUUCUGUUGGCCGGGGCUGGAGGCCACGCCAGAGACACCUCCCACCCUCUGCUCUUCCUUGCUGGAACCAACACGGCAUUCGGCGGUCAGAUAAUAGGACCUGGUGAUGCGAGGAGGCAGACAGGACCAUAAAUGAGGGGGAGCUGCCAAUCUCCAAAGAUCUCAACAAAGAAACCGGAUGGGAAACGUUCCAACCAGAGGGAAAAGCGUGUGCAAAAGUCCUGAGGAAAGGGGCACAUAGCAGGUUCUAGUCUGACGAGGCCACAGUUGGAAGACUGGAUUCCACUCUGGACGCCCUUGCUUAUUAGGAGAAAGACAUACGUGUCACUUUGUGGGGAACGAAGGCAUCAUCCCUGGAGAGAGCCUCACACGUGUGGCCAAGGAGACAUAUCCAAGUAUGUCCACUAUAGAAUUUUUAUCGGCAUCGACUUAGAUGCCCACCAACAGGGGACUGGACACAGGUAAUUCCGUGCACGCACAUGUUUUAAGAGCACAAUCGGGGACACCCACAAAUUGGGUGGUUCAGUCAGUUAAGCAUCCUACUUCGGCUCAGGUUAAGAUCGUGUGGUUCAUGAGUCCAAGCCCCACGUCAG